rnacentral:rRNA from 1 species
UACGAAGGGGGCUAGCGUUGCUCGGAAUUACUGGGCGUAAAGCGCACGUAGGCGGCUCUUAAGUCGGAGGUGAAAUCCUGGAGCUCAACUCCAGAACUGCCUUCGAUACUGUAGAGCUUGAGUCGGGAGAGGUGAGUGGAACUGCGAGUGUAGAGGUGAAAUUCGUAGAUAUUCGCAAGAACACCAGUGGCGAAGGCGGCUCACUGGCCCGAUACUGACGCUGAGGUGCGAAAGCGUGGGGAGCAA